AUUUCUAUUUGUUGAGGGCAAAUAAAGUGAAUAUGACUAUCUAUUCCCCCGGCCGUGAUAAUAUGUCCUUCUCCGGCAAUUAUUUCAGUAGAUGGACCAAUGAUAAUAUCUACCCGAUCUUGAAUAUAAGGAUUACCUGCUUUACCUAUUUUAUGAAUUUUGCCGUCUUUAAUUCCAAUAUCCGCUUUGACCACACCCCACCAAUCUAAAAUUAGGGCAUUGGUAAUUACUAAAUCUACCGCACCACCUUCACGGGAUAUGGGAGAUUGUCCCAUGCCAUCACGAAU
rfam:Trichodesmium erythraeum IMS101, complete genome.